rnacentral:lncRNA from 1 species
GUUUAAUGAUUUGGUGAGUUCAGCUCAAAUGCUGCAGUCCAACAGGGCAUACAACGAGAAUGAUGUGGUCCUAAUGCAGUCCAAAAUUAACAUUAUCUUGAGGCUCUUCUUACAUGCUGAAUUUUCUCCAAAGCUGAGGGUGAACAUCACUGAGUCCCAGAAGGAUGCCAUCCUUACUUCCAUUGCAGAGGGCCACCUAGACCGGAACAUGUUUCAUGGAGCUAUCAUGUCUGUCUUCCCCGUCAUUAUGUACUUCUGGAAAAGGUGACUAGUUUCCUCUUACAUGUUGAUUUCCUGGUCAAGAAAACAGAUCUCUGUCUUCCUCUAGGGCUUGGUUUCAUAGUUUCCUGUUUCACUGUAAGUGUGAUGGUUGUUCAUAUCCUACAUUUCACACACAUUCCAC